rnacentral:lncRNA from 1 species
UGCUUACCAAAGCCUUGCUCUCUGAGUCAUCCUGAUCAAAAUUUUCAUCAUCUUCCAAGUACUUCUCUUGCACCGCUGCAACUGUGGAUUGCUCUGUUAAGCCAAAGCAAUCAAACUAUACCAAUUUACUAACUAAGAAAGAGAAGACGUAAUGCAGGACUCCAGUUUUCCAUCGAAGAAAACACGUGCUCACGGGUACAGAUGGAUAUCCAAGGAAAAAUUAGUAAUGU